GGAAUAUUGGUCAAUGGACGAGAGUCUGAACCAGCCAAGUAGCGUGCAGGAUGACGGCCCUAUGGGUUGUAAACUGCUUUUAUGCGGGGAUAAAGUGCACCACGUGUGGUGUUUUGUAGGUACCGCAUGAAUAAGGACCGGCUAAUUCCGUGCCAGCAGCCGCGGUAAUACGGAAGGUCCGGGCGUUAUCCGGAUUUAUUGGGUUUAAAGGGAGCGCAGGCCGAAGGUUAAGCGUGACGUGAAAUGUAGCCGCUCAACGGCUGCACUGCGUCGCGAACUGGCUUUCUUGAGUGAGUUCGAUGUAGGCGGAAUUCGUGGUGUAGCGGUGAAAUGCUUAGAUAUCACGAAGAACUCCGAUUGCGAAGGCAGCCUACAAGGCCUUUACUGACGCUAAAGCUCGAAGGUGCGGGUAUCGAACA
rnacentral:rRNA from 1 species